rnacentral:rRNA from 1 species
AUGGAGAUCGAUCCUACAUUUCGUCAAAAGCGUGAGAUUAAAAGAAAGAAACAAUUUGACGAAAACCCAGAUGAUGUGUUAAUUUCUUCACAACCUGCACAUGAAUCAUUUAGGAGAAAAUAUUUUAUUCCUGUUGUUGAUCAGGCUAUCAGUUCACUUACAACAAGAUUUGAGCAAUAUGAAUCAUUCCAAAAGAACUUUGGUUUUUUAUUUACUUCUGAUGCACUAAAAUCAUUGGAUGAGAAGAGCUUAAAAUAUUCUUGUAGUGUUCUUGAGGCUGCACUAAGGAGUGGGGGGAAAUCAGACAUUAAUGGUAGUGAAAUAUAUGUUGAGCUAAAUUUACUUAAAAGUUUCAUUCCAAAUGAUAAUAUGGGGCCGGUUGAUAUCUUGAAAUUUCUUAAACGGCUAGAUUGUUUCCCUAAUGCCACUAUUGCAUAUAGAAUUUUGUUAACUAUUCCAGUGACCGUCGCAUCAACUGAGAGAAGUUUCUCCAAAUUGAAAUUAUUGAAGUCCUAUCUACGUUCAACAAUGACACAAGAAAGGCUCAGUGGGUUGGCUACUAUAGCAAUUGAAAAUGAUAUACUGGAGGGGGUUGCUUAUGAAGAUCUAAUUGAAGAUUUUGUAUCAAGAAAUGCUCAAAGGAUGACACGCUUUGGCUAA